rnacentral:misc_RNA from 1 species
GAUGAAGAACGUAGCGAAAUGCGAUACGUAAUGUGAAUUGCAGAAUUCAGUGAAUCAUCGAGUCUUUGAACGCACAUUGCGCCCCCUGGUAUUCCGGGGGGCAUGCCUGUCCGAGCGUCAUUACACCACUCAAGCUAUGCUUGGUAUUGGGCGUCGUCCUUAGUUGGGCGCGCCUUAAAGACCUCGGCGAGGCCACUCCGGCUUUAGGCGUAGUAGAAUUUAUUCGAACGUCUGUCAAAGGAGAGGAACUCUGCCGACUGAAACCUUUAUUUUUCUAGGUUGACCUCGGAUCAGGUAGGGAUACCCGCUGAACUUAAGCAUAUCAAUAAGCGGAGGA